rnacentral:rRNA from 1 species
AGGACGAACGCUGGCGGCGUGCCUAACACAUGCAAGUCGAGCGGGCGUAGCAAUACGUCAGCGGCAGACGGGAGAGUAACACGUGGGAACGCGCCCUUCGGUUCGGAAUAACUCAGGGAAACUUGAGCUAAUACCGGAUACGCCCUUACGGGGAAAGAUUUAUCGCCGAAGGAACGGCCCGCGUCGGAUUAGCUAGUUGGUGAGGUAAUGGCUCACCAAGGCGACGAUCCGUAGCUGGUCUAAGAGGAUGAUCAGCCUCACUGGGACUGAGACACGGCCCAGACUCCUACGGGAGGCAGCAGUGGGGAAUAUUGGACAAUGGGCGCAAGCCUGAUCCAGCCAUGCCGCGUGGAUGAUGAAGGCCUUAGGGUUGUAAAGUCCUUUCAGCGGGGAAGAUAAUGACGGUACCCGCAGAAGAAGCCCGGCUAACUUCGCGCCAGCAGCCGC